UGAUAAGCCCCCGCGACCCGCUUCUCCAUGCCCCAUCCUAGUAGAUAGUGUCGUUACCGAGGGCCACCAUUGCCGCAAGGGAGAAAAGGAUGAGUGAUGCCGCCGCAAUUGGUUCAUGUGUUGGGCAGUGUGGGGUCCUCGGAAGCGGGCUAGUAUGCCUCGCCAUGUCGUGCGCAACGCAUGCGUGGCUUCGAUUGGGUGGACUCAUGCUCGGAGUACUGAGGAAUGGCUCAUCAGAGUUAUCAAGCCGCCAUGGAUCCGCUGCCCCUUGUGGGCAGGAGUAUUCGACACACCAAUCACCG
rnacentral:lncRNA from 7 species